rnacentral:rRNA from 1 species
AGGCGACGAUGCGUAGCCGACCUGAGAGGGUGAUCGGCCACACUGGGACUGAGACACGGCCCAGACUCCUACGGGAGGCAGCAGUAGGGAAUCUUCCGCAAUGGACGAAAGUCUGACGGAGCAACGCCGCGUGAGUGAUGAAGGUUUUCGGAUCGUAAAGCUCUGUUGUUAGGGAAGAACAAGUGCCGUUCAAAUAGGGCGGCACCUUGACGGUACCUAACCAGAAAGCCACGGCUAACUACGUGCCAGCAGCCGCGGUAAUACGUAGGUGGCAAGCGUUGUCCGGAAUUAUUGGGCGUAAAGGGCUCGCAGGCGGUUUCUUAAGUCUGAUGUGAAAGCCCCCGGCUCAACCGGGGAGGGUCAUUGGAAACUGGGGAACUUGAGUGCAGAAGAGGAGAGUGGAAUUCCACGUGUAGCGGUGAAAUGCGUAGAGAUGUGGAGGAACACCAGUGGCGAAGGCGACUCUCUGGUCUGUAACUGACGCUGAGGAGCGAAAGCGUGGGGAGCGAACAGGAUUAGAUACCCUGGUAGUCCACGCCGUAAACGAUGAGUGCUAAGUGUUAGGGGGUUUCCGCCCCUUAGUGCUGCAGCUAACGCAUUAAGCACUCCGCCUGGGGAGUACGGUCGCAA